GACCUUAUGAAAUAUUUUUGAGAUUUAAUGCUAGACUUGUCUAAUUUUUGCAAACCCAUUUCUUCUUAAAAGUUAAAUCACUAUACUUGUUGAUGAAAUAAGUAGUCAAAAAUGUCAGAUUCAUAGUCUUGAGUAUCGGAUUCUUAACAUUUACUUGGCCAGGUAGUCUCUUGGUCAUUUCCUUUAUGUAUAUCCUAUCUUGAUAGAAAUAUUUUCAUAUAUAAUCAACUAACAUCAUGAAACAUUCAUAUUAGUUGCUCCUCUGUUUUUGUAUAAUUGUUGAAUGUACAAAAGUAGAGAAAAUAUUUUGCGCUCUCUCUCUCUCUCUCUUUCUCUCUCUCUCUCUCUCACAGAGUCUAUCAACUCUCUCCAUCACGGCUGCUCUGAAAUCAACUCUCUCUCUCUCUCAUAGCUAAAGCAAGACCCAGUCUGCAAUGAAGACACGGAGUGUGUUGGUUUUGUUAGAAUUGGAAGUGAAGAUCAGAUCAUUGUGGCUGGUACAAUGAAGCAACUUCAAUUGCAUGUUUUUUUCCUAUCAAAUAGUACUGUAGGAGUGUGCAACUACUCAAAUUUUGACGUGUUAUUAUGUAAAAAAUUAAACUCUUCAAUAUUUUGUGCUGAAAGUAGUAACUUUUGAAUAUGUUGAAUACUUAAGACUACUUGAAUACUUAAAAAACAUUUUGUUGUU